CCUACGGGAGGCAGCAGUGAGGAAUAUUGGUCAAUGGGCGCUAGCCUGAACCAGCCAAGUAGCGUGAAGGAUGACUGCCCUACGGGUUGUAAACUUCUUUUAUAAAGGAAUAAAGUGAAGCACGUGUACUUUUUUGCAUGUACUUUAUGAAUAAGGAUCGGCUAACUCCGUGCCAGCAGCCGCGGUAAUACGGAGGAUCCGAGCGUUAUCCGGAUUUAUUGGGUUUAAGGGGAGCGUAGAUGGGUUGUUAAGUCAGUUGUGAAAGUUUGCGGCUCAACCGUAAAAUUGCAGUUGAUACUGGCAGCCGUGAGUACAGUUGAGGUAGGCGGAAUUCGUGGUGUAGCGGUGAAAUGCUUAGAUAUCACGAAGAACUCCGAUUGCGAAGGCAGCUUACUAAACUGUAACUGACAUUGAUGCUCGAAAGUGUGGGUAUCAAACAGGAUUAGAUACCCUUGUAGUG
rnacentral:rRNA from 1 species